UACGUAGGUGGCAAGCGUUGUCCGGAAUUAUUGGGCGUAAAGCGCGCGCAGGCGGUCCUUUAAGUCUGAUGUGAAAGCCCACGGCUCAACCGUGGAGGGUCAUUGGAAAACUGGGGGGACUUGAGUGCAGGAGAGAAAAAGUGGAAUUCCACGUGUAGCGGUGAAAUGCGUAGAGAUGUGGAGGAACACCAGUGGCGAAGGCGACUUUUUUGGCCUGUAACUGACGCUGAGGCGCGAAAAGCGUGGGGGAGCAAACAGG
rnacentral:rRNA from 1 species